CAGAAUUAUUACUUAAAGGAUAUACAAUAGAAACAGUAGUAGGAGCUGCAGUUGGUUGUGUUGUAUUUAGUGGUAUUGUCGUUGGCCUUGUAUUUUGCCUAAUCCGGAAGCGCAGACGAAAUAUGAAUUCCAAACAAGCAGAAACACAGCAUAUCCAAGAAGAGUCAAAUAUUGGAGGCCAAUACGAAGAAGUUGGAAUGGACAAUGUAUCUGCUAAACUAGAACUUGGAACAAAAGAUACUCAAAAUGUUUAUGACCAGAUUGAACGAAUGCCUACAGUAGAUAAACAAUAUGAAAACAUGAUGUGUAAAUGAUUAUCUGAUCUAUGUUUCUAUUUUAUCAACGUAUGAUUUAAACUUAACGUGUAAAACACGUGUCCAUUGAAUAACCUUUUUGAAACCUUAUUAGACAAAGAAGAGAGCACACACACUACGGCUCAUUCAAAAUCCAUUAGUAAAAAAAAAAAACAAAGACAUUUUUGUCUUUUCCUCAGUUUAGCUUUUGUC